GAGUCAGGUCAGUCACUGCUGUCUUCAUGCCCAUCAGUUUCUUGUGAGAAGAAAACCAGAAAAUAAGGACUGAAAUCCACACAGGAGAGUGACAGUGAACUCCACAGAUGGACCUGGACCCCUCAACACUCCUGGCCUCACCUCCCUUGCUGAACGUCUCAAGUUUCUCUGCAUUCAGGACUGGCAAUGCCUGCUGCUUCCUCUGAGCUGUCAAGUAAGAAGUCCAGGCUACUCUGCUAGAAAGAGAGGUCAUGUGCAGGAGCACUGAGACAUCCCAGGUGUGACACUCUUCCACCUAGAACAUUCUGUCUGUCAUCCUCUGCCAUGUGAGGCUGGGCUUCUUCAACAAACAGAUCUCAAAUGCAAAAGACAUUUAUUUCUUCCAUACCUAAUGGCCUGAGCAAUCCUUGGUGAACCUGGUAGUGUCAUCUUUAGAAGUGAAGACACAAUUAGCACAUGAUCAUUUGUUCACUAUAUCACUGUUA